rnacentral:rRNA from 1 species
UACGUAGGGGGCAAGCGUUGUCCGGAAUCAUUGGGCGUAAAGAGCGUGUAGGCGGCCCGGUAAGUCCGCUGUGAAAGUCCAGGGCUCAACCCUGGGAUGCCGGUGGAUACUGUCGGGCUCGAGUCCGGAAGAGGAGUGUGGAAUUCCUGGUGUAGCGGUGAAAUGCGCAGAUAUCAGGAGGAACACCAAUGGCGAAGGCAGCACUCUGGGACGUGACUGACGCUGAGACGCGAAAGC